GAAACCACGCGCAGCGCUCCAGGUGCUCCAUGCCGGUCCUUCUCGGCUACCGUCCGCCUUCCAGAGCCUUCUCGGCCACCGUCUUACCCUUCGCCCGAGCUGGCACCACCACAUCCCCUCUGGGCGCAUGCGCGCUUCCUGCAAGCUCCGCCCCCUAGAGGGCGUGUCUCCCUCUAGUGGCCUUGAUGGGUCUCUGCAGAGUGCAGGUCUGCAUUUACCUGCGCCGCUUCCACUCAUCGCCCCCAAGCUACUGGCUGAGAUCACUGCAGGCUGCUCUUUGCCUGGGCAACCUGCUCCCCUCAUGUUUGUGGGAUGGGAUUCUCGCUUUCUUUAUCUGCAAAACAAACAAGAGACCCACCUUUCUUAAGAGCUAGUUUGGGAGUUCCGUAUAUUGGGUCAGUUAUAGGGUUUUUCAGAUGAAAUUUCUUUGCAAAGUCAUUAAUAAAUUUAAAUCUUAUU
ensembl:antisense 2310001K24Rik RIKEN cDNA 2310001K24 gene